GAACGAGAAAGUGGAGCAAUCCAUGAGUACAGUGGCGACCGGGUGAGUAACACGUGACUACCUACCCUUGAGUGGGGGAUAACCCCGGGAAACCGGGGCUAAUACCGCAUAAUAUCGAGAGAUCAAAGGAGCAAUCCGCUUUUGGAGGGGGUCGCGGCUGAUUAGCUAGUUGGUAGGGUAAUGGCCUACCAAGGCGAAGAUCGGUAUCCGGCCUGAGAGGGCGCACGGACACACUGGAACUGAAACACGGUCCAGACUCCUACGGGAGGCAGCAGUGGGGAAUUUUGCGCAAUGGGGGAAACCCUGACGCAGCAACGCCGCGUGGAGGAUGAAGGCCCUUGGGUCGUAAACUCCUUUCGACCGGGAAGAUACUGACGGUACCGGUGGAAGAAGCACCGGCUAACUCUGUG
rnacentral:rRNA from 1 species